UCAUUCUGAAAUGGUGAGGGAUAACGUGGAAUGAGCUAACUCUGAUUAAGCAAACCUCGCGCUAAUGAUGUAUGUUUAAGAUAUGCGUAUGAAUAACUUUAAAAUAAAAACAUUUCUCAAUAUGUAUCUUAUUUCUUUCAUUUGUUUAAAAACUUAAUACUGACGUCGUGAGCUCACUUGGUGUAUCGUCUAAUCAAUCAAAAUGCAGUGGGCAAUUAUUAUUUGGAACCCAGACGAGUCCAACAGUAGUACCGCAAAGUGGUUAACAUUAACAUUAUCAUUGAACAUUGGUCGGGUGCGCCGAUCUCUCACGCCCCAUUUCUAAUUUAUACCUUUCAUGAUAUAGACAUACACCUCGUAAUAAAAAUAUUCAGAAUACAUAUAUUUUUAAAACAUUCAUUGACUCGUGACAUUUGAAAGCUUUUUAUUCCUUGAAACUUCAUGUAUGCUUAUGGAUGCAUUAACAUGCAGGAAAAUGUCAUGAGUAGCAUUAAUAAUAUAAAACGUAAUAAU
rnacentral:lncRNA from 1 species